rnacentral:lncRNA from 1 species
AUGAACCUACAUCUGCCCCCAAGGGAGUUUAUCGCCCACAGCGGGCACAGGUUGGACUCCAUGCAUACCCAUCCAUCAAUGGGUAAUGUGAAGGGAGGAAACAGAUGCAGUGAGCAGUGUGCAUCCAUCCUUCACCACCAGAAAUGGGCAGCCCCUGAGCUUGGCUCUGCCACUGGGCUCCUGGAGAGAGGCUGCCAUGGUCCAGUGAGCAGCCCAGGUUCUCCAGGCUGGACAGGGCACAUGGCAGGUACGGAGUGUUCCUGACCAUGUUUCACGAGAAUGUGCGAGCUCAGCUUGAUGAUGAGUCUAUGACCGGAAUGAAUCGCCUCCAUUUAUUUUCAAGGGAAGAAAGAGAAAAAGAUACAAAUAUCCUUAGUAAGUUAGGGAUCAAAACACGUUACUGGGGACUUGCUGGCAGUCCAGUGGUUCAGACUCCAUGCCCUCAAAACAAGGAACACGAACUUGAUCCCUGGUUGGGGAACUAAGAUUCCCUACAUGCUAUACGGUACGGCCAAAAAGAAAGAAAGAAAUUAUUCAUAAAGUCAAAUAGUGUGUUAGUCACUCAGUCAUGUCCGACUCUUUGUGACCCCCAUGGACAGUAGCCCACCAGGCUCCUAUGUCCAUGGAAUUCUCCAGGUUAAAAUACUGGAGUGGGUUGCCAUUUCCUUCUCCAGGGGAUCUUCCCAACCCAGGGAUUGAACACAGGUCUCCUGCAUUAUCAGCAGAUUCUUUACCAUCUGAGCCACCAGGAAAGCCCUAGGGCGAUGUAAGUAGCAAAAAAAAAAAAUAUAUUCCUGUUAAUUUUGUGGGAAAGGAGGGAUAGGUGGAGCCGAGGGGGGUUUUUAGGGCAGUAAAAUUAUUCUGCAUGAUUCGAUAAUGGUAGAUACAGGUCAUCACACAUUUGCCCAAGCCCAUAGGGUGUACAACACCAAAAGUGAGUCCUAAUGUCAACUAUGAUUUUAGCAAAUAAUAAUGUCAGUGCCUCACUUUUAACAAAUGAACUACACUAACUCAAGAUGCUCGUGAUACAAGAGAAUGAGGAGAGAGUAGGAGUUCACGUGGGAACUCUCUGUACUUUCCAAUCAUGUUUCUGUAAACCUAAAACUGCUCUUAACAAAACAAAGGAAAACCAAACAUCACUGCCGGUCUGGGUCUUAGUAGAGGAUCUUUGUGGGAUGGGGCCUGGAGUGGCCCAGAGGAAACCCCCAAACCACUGUCCUGACCAUGCCACAGCCUGGGAUGGUGUGGCACCAACUGUGCCCAU